UACGAAGGGGGCUAGCGUUGCUCGGAAUCACUGGGCGUAAAGCGCACGUAGGCGGCUUUCUAAGUCAGGGGUGAAAUCCUGGAGCUCAACUCCAGAACUGCCUUUGAUACUGGAGAGCUUGAGUCCGGAAGAGGUGAGUGGAACUCCGAGUGUAGAGGUGAAAUUCGUAGAUAUUACGGAAGAACACCAGUGGCGAAGGCGGCUCACUGGUCCGGUACUGACGCUGAUGUGCGAAAGCGUGGGGAGCGAACAGG
rnacentral:rRNA from 1 species